rnacentral:tRNA from 1 species
GCCUAGUUAGCUUAGUUGGUAGUGCGUCUGCAUUGUAAGCGCUAGGCCGCGGGUUCGAUUCCCACCCGGGGCG